AGCGACAAUACUUCAGAGAAUCAUUUCUAUAGUAUUUGUCCUCUCUUGUGUUUCCUAACGGAGCCACAGAUCCCACCCGGGUUGAUGAAUGAAAAUCCUCGAUUCCCGUACAGUGAGGUCCUUUUUUCAUUACUCUCGCCCUACCUGCAAAAGGUAGCGGUCAUUUGCUCUUCAAGGCCGUGGCUGUAUAGAGAGUGGCGAUGAUCUGUACCCCGAUUUUUCUCGAGGUCCUGCCUUCGGGCGCUCGAGCGGGGUGGGUAUCGAUGGACGUCUGACCGGC
rnacentral:snoRNA from 1 species